GUGAAAUAUUCUAAAACAUAAGUUGCCAAAUAUUGAAGUUCCUAACUGUUUAUAAUUCACAGUACCUGAAUUCACUCAUGUAUUUCCCCCCCCCCUUUUUUGAGAAAAAAAUUGAUUGAUUAUAUAAGGAAUCACUGAAGUAUUACUGGAGCGGCCCCCUCUUAGGCAGCCAAUGGGCCCCCACUUAUGAAAAUUUCUAGAUCAGCC
rnacentral:lncRNA from 1 species